GGGACCCUGAGGCCAGUACUCACGGUGCCUGCGUAGUGAACCAGCUCGAAGUGGACCUCGGGCCCCUUGCUCUUGCCCCCCUUGGGCUUCAGGAAGUUGCUGGACUUGCCCAGGUGGUUGUCGUACAGGGCUGCCUUGAACGUGGCAUCGGUGGCUUUGGGGAAGACGCACUGUUCCUCCAAGAUGGAGAAGAUGCCCAUGGGCUGGGAAGGAAGAGAACAGGGUGAUGUUAGAGGAGGUGGCAGGACCCAAAAGAGGACAAACUGGUACUGAGCCCAGGGCCAGUGUAGAGAUGCACCAGACACCCACGUGGGCAUCCAGGAAGCAGGACUCUGUGCAGUGACAUCUGGGAACAGUGCCUGGUGCUCCAUGACCUUGUCAUCAAACACCAUGGCCAUUAAGACUUGAAAGAGGCUGAAAUCAUCGAGUCCAACAGAAGGGAAGACUGAGAUCUGAAGGGGCCAGAUAGCUCCCCAAAUGCUAAUCCCACCUAAACAGUGGCCCCUGGCAAGCUUGGCCUUCUGAAAAAUGGGGAAGUCAAUGCCACCUGUGCUCUCUGCUUUUUUUUUUUAAUUUAAUUUAUUUAUUUUGAGACAGAGUCUCGCUCUGUCGCCCAGGCUGGAGUGCAGUGGCACAAUCUCGGCUCACUGCAACCUCCGCCUUCCAUGUUCAAGUGAUUCUCCUCCCUCAGCCUCCUGAGUAGCUGGGAUUACAGGUGCCCGCCACCACACCUGGCUAAUUUUUGUAUUAGAGAUGAGGUUUCACCAUGUUGGCCAGGCUGGUCUCAAAACUCCUGACCUCAGGUGAUCCACCCACCUCAGCCUCCCAAAUUGCUGGGAUUACAGGUGUGAACCACCAUGCCUGGCCACAACACACAUUCUUGAAGGGGACCAUUUGCUAAAACCUUCCAUGUGGAUGUGGUUAUAGGUAAAACUAUUAUAUUGCCUGGGUCAGAGCGUGACUCUGCCACUCACAGGUUGUGGGACAUUGGACAAGGAAGUUCCCUUCUCUGUGCCUCAAUGUUCCCAUCUCUGUGCCUCAAUGUUCCCAUCUGUGAAAUGGGUGUAAUAAAAGUAUCCCCUCCCCCACAUGCAGUAGGUUGUGAUGAUCCAAUGAAUGGUGGCAUGCAAUAGCCCAACAAACAGUAGUCAUUGCAGUCACUUCAGUACCCAUUUUGCAGAUAGGGAGCUAGAGGUCAUACCAAGGAAGGUCACUGGUGGUGUCACUGACUCCCCUGAAGCCAAGUGCCACCUCCCUGCAUGUGCCAGUGACAUCCCUUGGCCCUGGCCUCUCUCCAAUCCCUCCUUUGAGAAGCAAGUCACCUUUUCCAGCAGGUCGAUGCAGGCCUGAAGGUCGAGGCCAAAGUCGAUGAAGACCCACUCGAUGCCUUCCCUCUUGUACUCCUCCUGCUCCAGCACGAACAUGUGGUGGUUGAAGAACUGCUGCAGCUUCUCGUUGGUGAAGUUGAUGCAUAGCUGCUCAAAGCUGUUGAACUGUGGCGGCAGGAGGGCAGAAAGAGGGGCGUCAGCACAGGC
rnacentral:lncRNA from 1 species